CACGUAGGGGACGAGCGUUGUCCGGAUUCAUUGGGCGUAAAGAGCUCGUAGGCGGCUUGUCACGUCGGUUGUGAAAGCCCGGGGCUUAACCCCGGGUCUGCAGUCGAUACGGGCAGGCUAGAGUGUGGUAGGGGAGAUCGGAAUUCCUGGUGUAGCGGUGAAAUGCGCAGAUAUCAGGAGGAACACCGGUGGCGAAGGCGGAUCUCUGGGCCAUUACUGACGCUGAGGAGCGAAAGCGUGGGGAGCGAACAGG
rnacentral:rRNA from 1 species